rnacentral:rRNA from 1 species
AUGGGUUUCCUCCACCCGUUCGCCUCCCACGUGGUGCUCUUCUUCCUCUUCCUCUCCUCGUUGGCGUUUCUUCAUGGCGCCGCCGCGGACCAGGAGGAGGCUCUGCAGACCUACAUUGUGCAGCUGCACCCGCGCGGAUCUACCGGCGGCGGCGAGUCAGCCUCCUCCGACCACGACUGGCACCUCGCCUUCCUCGCCAAAUCCGUGCCUUCUUCCGAGGAGCAAGAUGACAAGCGUCACAUGUCGUCGUCGCGGCUGCUCUACUCUUACCACACCGUGUUCGACGGCUUCGCGGCGCGGCUCACGGCCGGCGAGGCGGCGGCGCUGCGGGCGCUGCAGGGCGUCUCGUCGGUGCGGGAGGACCGCCGGGUGGAGCUCCACACCACGUACUCGUACCGGUUCCUCGGCCUAAACGUGUGCCCGACCGGGGCGUGGGCGCGCGCGCGGUAUGGCCGCGGCGUGGUGGUCGGGGUGCUCGACACGGGCGUGUGGCCGGAGAGCCCGAGCUUCGACGACCGCGGGAUGCCGCCGGUGCCGGACCGGUGGCGGGGCGUGUGCGAGACCGGGGAGCGGUUCAACGCGACCAACUGCAACCGGAAGCUCGUCGGCGCGCGGUUCUACUCCAACGGCCACCGCGCCAACUACCCGACGGACCCGUCGGACGCCGCCGCGCGGACGCGGGAGUACGCUUCGCCACGGGACGCGCACGGGCACGGGACCCACACGGCGUCGACAGCCGCGGGGUCUGCCGUGGCCGGAGCCAGUGUCCUCGGCGCCGGGGCCGGGGAGGCGCGCGGCGUGGCUCCCGGCGCGCACGUCGCCGCGUACAAGGUCUGCUGGUUCAACGGAUGCUUCAGCUCCGAUAUCCUCGCCGGGAUGGACGACGCGGUGCGCGACGGCGUCGACGUGCUGUCGCUCUCCCUGGGCGGCUUCCCCAUCCCGCUCUUCGAGGACAGCAUCGCCAUCGGCAGCUUCCGUGCCACGGUGCGCGGCGUCUCCGUCGUCAGCGCCGCCGGCAACAACGGGCCGGAGCCGAGCUCCGUGGCCAACGAAGCGCCCUGGAUGCUCACCGUCGGCGCUGCCACACUGGAUCGCCGCUUCCCGGCCUACGUCCGGCUCGGCAACGGCCGGGUCCUGUACGGUGAGUCCAUGUACCCGGGAAAAGUUGGUUUGAAAAAUGGCGGGAAAGCGCUCGAGCUGUUCUACGCCGCCGGUGGGUCCCGGGAAGUGAUGUACUGCAUGAAGGGCUCCCUCUCCGCGGCCGACGUCGCCGGGAAGAUGGUGGUAUGUGACCGCGGCAUCACCGGCCGGGCAGACAAAGGCCAAGCGGUGAAAGAAGCGGGCGGCGCGGCCAUGGUGCUCGCGAACUCCGAGAUCAACCGGCAGGAGGACUCCGUCGAUGUGCACGUCCUCCCCGCGACACUCAUCGGCUACCAGGAAGCCGUCGAGCUCAAGAAGUACAUCAGCUCGACGCCGCGGCCGGUGGCAAGGAUCGCGUUCGGCGGCACGCGGAUCGGGCGAGCGCGCGCACCGGCGGUGGCGCUGUUCUCGGCGCGAGGGCCGAGCGUGACGAGCCCAUCGGUGCUGAAGCCCGACGUGAUCGCGCCCGGGGUGAACAUCAUCGCUGCGUGGCCGGGCAGCGUGGGUCCGUCGGGGCUGGACGGCGACGCGCGGCGGACCAACUUCACGGUGCUGUCGGGGACGUCGAUGGCGUGCCCGCACGUGAGCGGCAUCGCGGCGCUGGUCAGGUCGGCGCAUCCUUCAUGGAGCCCGGCGAUGGUGCGUUCGGCGAUCAUGACGACGGCCGACGUGACGGACCGGCAUGGCAAGCCGAUCACCGACGGCGACGGCGGCGACCGCGCCGACGUGUUCGGCAUGGGCGCGGGGCACGUGAACCCGGCCCUCGCCGUCGACCCAGGCCUCGUCUACGACAUCGAGCCGGCCGACUACGUGACGCACCUGUGCACGCUGGGGUACACGCAGAGGGAGGUGUUCAAGAUCACGCACAGCGCCGUCGACUGCAGCGAGCUGCUGCACGAGAACCCUGGGUUCACGCUCAACUACCCGUCGAUGGCGGUGGCGUUCAAGGACGGCGGCGGCGAGACCUCGGCGGUGCUCCGGAGGACGGUCACCAACGUGGGCGCGCCCAACUCGACGUACACGGCGCGGGUGGGCGCGCCGCCGGGGGUCAAGGUCACGGUCGCGCCCACGACGCUGGCGUUCGCGGAGUUCGGCGAGAAGAAGAGCUUCCAGGUGUGGGUGGACGCGUCAGGCGCGGCGGGGAGGGACAGCGGGGAGGGGUACCUGGUGUGGAAGCAGCGGGGCGCGGGGCUGGGCAGGCGGCGCACGGUGAGGAGCCCCAUUGCCGUGACCUGGCCCGUGGAGUAG